rnacentral:piRNA from 1 species
UUUGUUUAUUUAAAAAAAAAG